UUGAAACACUGGUUCCUGUAUGAUCACUGAAGUUAAGCAAUGUUGAGCCUGGUCAGUACCUAGAUGGGUGACUGGUAAUACCAGGUGCUGUAAG
rnacentral:rRNA from 1 species